GGUUAAGCGAAUAAGCGUACACGGUGGAUGCCUAGGCAAUCAGAGGCGAUGAAGGACGUGCUAAUCUGCGAAAAGCGUCGGUAAGGUGAUAUGAACCGUUAUACCCGACGAUAUCCGAAUGGGGAAACCCAGUAUCCAAUGGAUACUAUCAUUAACUGAAUCCAUAGGUUAAUGAGGCGAACCGGGAGAACUGAAACAUCUCAGUACCCCGAGGAAAAGAAAUCAACCGAGAUUCCCCUAGUAGCGGCGAGCGAACGGGGAGCAGCCCAGAGUCUUAAUCAAUAGCAGUGUCAGGAGAACGGUCUGGAAAGUCCGGCAGUAAAGGGUGAUAGCCCCGUAUCUGAAGAUGCUGUUAUUGUGAACUCGAUGAGUAGGGCGGGACACGUGUUAUCCUGUCUGAAUAUGGGGGGACCAUCCUCCAAGGCUAAAUACUCCUGAUUGACCGAUAGUGAACCAGUACCGUGAGGGAAAGGCGAAAAGAACCCCGGCGAGGGGAGUGAAAAAGAACCUGAAACCGUGUACGUACAAGCAGUAGGAGCCUCUUUAUGGGGUGACUGCGUACCUUUUGUAUAAUGGGUCAGCGACUUAUAUUCUGUAGCAAGGUUAACCGCAUAGGGGAGCCGUAGGGAAACCGAGUCUUAACUGGGCGAAUGAGUUGCAGGGUAUAGACCCGAAACCCGGUGAUCUAUCCAUGGGCAGGUUGAAGGUUGGGUAACACUAACUGGAGGACCGAACCGACUAAUGUUGAAAAAUUAGCGGAUGACUUGUGGAUGGGGGUGAAAGGCCAAUCAAACCGGGAGAUAGCUGGUUCUCCCCGAAAGCUAUUUAGGUAGCGCCUCGUGAACUCAUCUUCGGGGGUAGAGCACUGUUUCGACUAGGGGGUCAUCCCGACUUACCAACUCGAUGCAAACUGCGAAUACCGAAGAAUGUUAUCACGGGAGACACACGGCGGGUGCUAACGUCCGUCGUGAAGAGGGAAACAACCCAGACCGCCAGCUAAGGUCCCAAAGUCAUGGUUAAGUGGGAAACGAAGUGGGAAGGCUCAGACAGCCAGGAUGUUGGCUUAGAAGCAGCCAUCAUUUAAAGAAAGCGUAAUAGCUCACUGGUCGAGUCGGCCCGCGCGGAAGAUGUAACGGGGCUAAACCAUGCACCGAAGCUGCGGCAGCGACACGUAGUGUUGUUGGGUAGGGGAGCGUUCUGUAAGCCUGCGAAGGUGUACUGUGAGGUAUGCUGGAGGUAUCAGAAGUGCGAAUGCUGACAUAAGUAACGAUAAUGCGGGUGAAAAACCCGCACGCCGGAAGACCAAGGGUUCCUGUCCAACGUUAAUCGGGGCAGGGUGAGUCGACCCCUAAGGCGAGGCUGAAAAGCGUAGUCGAUGGGAAACGGGUUAAUAUUCCCGUACUGGUGGUAACUGCGAUGGGGGAACGGAGAAGGCUAGGUUGUCCGGGCGACGGUCGUCCCGGUUCAAGCAGGUAGGCAGAGUGAUUAGGCAAAUCCGGUCACUUAAUGCUGAGAUGUGAUGACGAACCACCAAGGUGGUGAAGCAAUUGAUGCCCCGCUUCCAGGAAAAGCCUCUAAGCUUCAGGUUACCAACAAUCGUACCCCAAACCGACACAGGUGGUCAGGUAGAGAAUACUCAGGCGCUUGAGAGAACUCGGGUGAAGGAACUAGGCAAAAUGGUGCCGUAACUUCGGGAGAAGGCACGCUGGCGGUAGGUAAAGUCCCUUGCGGACGGCGCUGAAGCCAGUCGAAGAUACCAGCUGGCUGCAACUGUUUAUUAAAAACACAGCACUGUGCAAACACGAAAGUGGACGUAUACGGUGUGACGCCUGCCCGGUGCUGGAAGGUUAAUUGAUGGGGUCAGCCGUAAGGCGAAGCUCCUGAUCGAAGCCCCAGUAAACGGCGGCCGUAACUAUAACGGUCCUAAGGUAGCGAAAUUCCUUGUCGGGUAAGUUCCGACCUGCACGAAUGGCGUAAUGAUGGCCAGGCUGUCUCCACCCGAGACUCAGUGAAAUUGAACUCGCUGUGAAGAUGCAGUGUACCCGCGGCAAGACGGAAAGACCCCGUGAACCUUUACUAUAGCUUGACACUGAACAUUGAGCCUUGAUGUGUAGGAUAGGUGGGAGGCUUUGAAGUGUGGACGCCAGUCUGCAUGGAGCCAACCUUGAAAUACCACCCUUUAACGUUUGAUGUUCUAACCUAGGCCCGUGAUCCGGGUCGGGGACCGUGUCUGGUGGGUAGUUUGACUGGGGCGGUCUCCUCCUAAAGAGUAACGGAGGAGCACGAAGGUUGGCUAAGCAUGGUCGGACAUCAUGCGGUUAGUGCAAAGGCAUAAGCCAGCUUGACUGCGAGAGUGACGGCUCGAGCAGGUACGAAAGUAGGUCUUAGUGAUCCGGUGGUUCUGAAUGGAAGGGCCAUCGCUCAACGGAUAAAAGGUACUCCGGGGAUAACAGGCUGAUACCGCCCAAGAGUUCAUAUCGACGGCGGUGUUUGGCACCUCGAUGUCGGCUCAUCACAUCCUGGGGCUGAAGUAGGUCCCAAGGGUAUGGCUGUUCGCCAUUUAAAGUGGUACGCGAGCUGGGUUUAGAACGUCGUGAGACAGUUCGGUCCCUAUCUGCCGUGGGCGUUGGAAGAUUGAGAGGGGUUGCUCCUAGUACGAGAGGACCGGAGUGAACGCACCACUGGUGUUCGGGUUGUCAUGCCAAUGGCAUUGCCCGGUAGCUAAGUGCGGAAGAGAUAACCGCUGAAAGCAUCUAAGCGGGAAACUUGCCUCGAGAUGAGUCUUCCCUGUCGCUUUAAGCGACCUAAAGGAACGUUUAAGACUAAGACGUUGAUAGGCUGGGUGUGUAAGCGUAGCGAUACGUUGAGCUAACCAGUACUAAUGAACCGUGAGGCUUAACCUG
rnacentral:rRNA from 1 species